rnacentral:rRNA from 1 species
GACAGAGGGUGCAAACGUUGUUCGGAAUUACUGGGCGUAAAGCGCGUGUAGGCGGCCCUGCAAGUCGGGUGUGAAAUCCCACGGCUCAACCGUGGAAGUGCACUCGAAACUGCAGGGCUAGAGUCCUGGAGAGGAAGGUGGAAUGCUUGGUGUAGAGGUGAAAUUCGUAGAUAUCAGGCGGAACACCGGUGGCGAAGGCGGCCUUCUGGACAGUGACUGACGCUGAGACGCGAAAGCGUGGGGAGCAAACAGG